rnacentral:rRNA from 1 species
CGCCUGUUUAUCAAAAACAUAGCCUCUUGGCGUUAUAAGAGGUAUAGCCUGCCCACUGAUUUUUUAAAAGGCCGCGGUAUUUUGACCGUGCAAAGGUAGCAUAAUCAUUAGUCUUUUAAUUGGAGGCUGGAAUGAAGGGCUGCACAUAACUAAAGCUGUCUCAUUUGAAUAAAUUAAUUUAACUUUUAAGUGAAAAGGCUUAAAUAGAUUAAGGGGACGAGAAGACCCUAUAGAUCUUUAUUAAUUAAAAAUUUAUAUCUUUAGAAGAUUUUAAAUAUAAGUUUGUGUUAAUUAUAUUGGGGUGAUAAGAAAAUAAUGAAACUUUUCUUUUUAAAACAAUUAUUUUUGGUUAAAUGAUCCUUAAAAAGAGAUUGUAAGUUUAAGUUACCUUAGGGAUAACAGCGUAAUUUUUUUGGAGAGUUCUUAUCGAUAAAAAAGUUUGCGACCUCGAUGUUGGACUAAGAAUAGUGUUAGGGGCAGCCCCUUAAUAUACUAGGUCUGUUCGACCUUUAAAUUCUUACAUGAUCUGAGUUC